UACGGGAGGCAGCAGUGGGGAAUAUUGCACAAUGGGCGAAAGCCUGAUGCAGCUAUGCCGCGUGUAUGAAGAAGGCCUUAGGGUUGUAAAGUACUUUCAUCGGGGAGGAAAAAACAAAACUAAUAAUUUUAUUUCUUGACGUUACCCGAAAAAGAAGCACCGGCUAACUCCGUGCCAGCAGCCGCGGUAAUACGGAGGGUGCUAGCGUUAAUCAGAAUUACUGGGCGUAAAGAGCACGUAGGUGGUUUUUUAAGUCAGAUGUGAAAUCCCUGGGCUUAACCUAGGAACUGCAUUUUGAAACUGAAAUACUAGAGUAUCGUAGAGGGAGGUAGAAUUCUAGGUGUAGCGGUGAAAUGCGUAGAUAUCUGGAGGAAUACCUGUGGCGAAAGCGGCCUCCUAAACGAAUACUGACACUGAGGUGCGAAAGCGUGGGGAGCAAACAGGGAUUAGAUCC
rnacentral:rRNA from 1 species